rnacentral:tRNA from 1 species
AUUUAAAUAGCUUAUUAAGAGUAUAAUAUUGAAGAUAUUAGGGUGAUUAAUAUAAUCUUUAAAUA